UUGUUGGUAAGGUAAAAGCUUACCAAGGCUUCGAUCAGUAGCUGGUCUGAGAGGACGACCAGCCACACUGGGACUGAGACACGGCCCAGACUCCUACGGGAGGCAGCAGUGGGGAAUUUUGGACAAUGGGGGCAACCCUGAUCCAGCCAUGCCGCGUGAGUGAAGAAGGCRUUCGUUGUAAAGCUCUUUCAGCCGGAACGAAACGGUUACGGAUAACACCCGUGACUACUGACGGUACCGGAAGAAGAAGCACCGGCUAACUACGUGCCAGCAGCCGCGGUAAUACGUAGGGUGCGAGCGUUAAUCGGAAUUACUGGGCGUAAAGCGUGCGCAGGUGGUUUUGUAAGUCAGAUGUGAAAGCCCCGGGCUCAACCUGGGAACUGCGUUUGAAACUACAAGACUAGAGUGUGGCAGAGGGGGGUGGAAUUCCGCGUGUAGCAGUGAAAUGCGUAGAGAUGUGGAGGAACACCGAUGGCGAAGGCAGCCCCCUGGGUCAACACUGACGCUCAGGCACGAAAGCAUGGGGAGCAAACAGGAUUAGAUACCCUGGUAGUCCAUGCCCUAAACGAUGUCAACUAGUUGUCGGGCCUUUACGGGCUUGGUAACGUAGCUAACGCGUGAAGUUGACCGCCUGGGGAGUACGAUCGCAAGAUUAAAACUCAAAUGAAUUGACGGGGACCCGCACAAGCGGUGGAUUAUGMGGAUUAAUUCGAUGCAACGCGAAAAACCUUACCUACCCUUGACAUGUAUCGAAGCCCGCAGAAAAGCGGGGGUGCCCGAAAGGGAACGAUAACACAGGUGCUGCAUGGCUGUCGUCAGCUCGUGUCGUGAGAUGUUGGGUUAAGUCCCGCAACGAGCGCAACCCUUGUCAUUAAUUGCCAUCAUUUAGUUGGGCACUUUAAUGAGACUGCCGG
rnacentral:rRNA from 1 species